UCCUACGGGGGGCAGCAGUGGGGAAUAUUACACAAUGGGCGAAAGCCUGAUGCAGCAACGCCGCGUGAGUGAUGAAGGCCUUCGGGUUGUAAAGCUCUGUCUUUGGGGACGAUAACGACGGUACCCAAGGAGGAAGCCACGGCUAACUACGUGCCAGCAGCCGCGGUAAUACGUAGGUGGCAAGCGUUGUCCGGAUUUACUGGGCGUAAAGGAUGCGUAGGCGGAUAUUUAAGUCAGAUGUGAAAACCCCGAGCUUAACUUGGGGACUGCAUUUGAAACUGGAUAUCUAGAGUGUGGGAGAGGAGAAUGGAAUUCCUAGUGUAGCGGUGAAAUGCGUAGAGAUUAGGAAGAACACCAGUGGCGAAGGCGAUUCUCUGGACCAUAACUGACGCUGAGGCAUGAAAGCGUGGGUAGCAAACAGGAUUAGAUACCCGAGUAA
rnacentral:rRNA from 1 species